CUACGGGAGGCAGCAGUAGGGAAUCUUAGACAAUGGGGGAAACCCUGAUCUAGCCAUGCCGCGUGAGUGAUGAAGGCCUUAGGGUUGUAAAGCUCUUUCGCUGGGGAAGAUAAUGACGGUACCCAGUAAAGAAACCCCGGCUAACUCCGUGCCAGCAGCCGCGGUAAUACGGAGGGGGUUAGCGUUGUUCGGAAUGACUGGGCGUAAAGCGCGCGUAGGCGGGCUAUUAAGUCAGGGGUGAAAUCCCGGGGCUCAACCCCGGAACUGCCUUUGAUACUGGUAGUCUUGAGUUCGAGAGAGGUGAGUAGAAUUCCGAGUGUAGAGGUGAAAUUCGUAGAUAUUCGGAGGAACAUCAGUGGCGAAGGCGACUCACUGACUCGAUACUGACGCUGAGGUGCGAAAGUGUGGGGAGCAAACAGGAUUAGAUACCCUUGUAGUC
rnacentral:rRNA from 1 species